UAAAUUGGCUUAAAAGCUAGAUAUUUUUGACCAAGUAUAUUACAUUCUUAUCCCUUAUUAUUAUUUUUAAUCCCAAAAUUACCCCUUAGUAAAAAAAACACUAAAACAUACUAUUUUUCUUAAUCCCGAAAUUAUCGCUCAAUAAAAAAAACCCUAAAACAUACAGUCUCUUUUUCUUUUGUCCAUUCUUGUUGCAGCGUAUGCGUUCUUCUUCCUCUGCGUUCUUCUUCCUCUUCUUCCAUAACUCUCCCCAACUUCAACUCCAAUUUGAAAGCCUCUUCACACUUGGUCACAAUAUGCCAUACCAAGGAGUUAGUGUGAGCAACUUCAGUCUUAGCAACUUCAGCCUUGGCUUCUUUCUCUUUUAGGCUGUCAAACACAAGGCUCUCUUUAUGCAACUUCAGUCUUAGCUUCUUCGUUGUUCUGCUUUCUUCAGAUUAUUUACAUUCAAUAAUGCCGGACAAUGCUAAAUGGGACGAUGAUACACAUAUUAUAUUUCUUGAGUUGUGUGAGCAAGAGGUUAGAAAAGGAAAUAGACCAAACACUUACUUAAAUAAAGAUGGGUGGAAAAGUAUUGUUGACGAGUUCUGUAAGAAGACGGGAAAAGACUAUGAUAAAAAAAUGAAAAAUCAUUGGGAUUACAUGAAAGGAGAAUGAACACUUUUUAAGCAGUUGAUGAGAGGGGAGACGGAGUUAGGAUGAGAUGCCACGAAAAAUACGAUUAUGGCAGAUGAUGAUUGGUGGGAUCGAAAAAUUAAGGAGAAUGCAAAAUAUAAGAAAUUUAGGAACAAAGAUCUUUCGCUCAUAUGAUUUUGCUACGAUGCACUGUUUGCGAUGUUGUUACCAUAGGAGAAAGAGCACGUGCAACAAAUCAAGAACAAUUAUCGGGCAUAGGACUUAAUCUUGACGAAGAAGGAAUAAAUGUCAUUGGUGAUUAUGACAAAGAACACUUUACUCAUCUUAAUAAUGAAAUGAGCGAUGAUCUACAGAAUAUAAAUUUUGUUAUGUUUCCAGAGCCAUCACUAAAAAGACAAAAAUCAACUGAUGGUGUUAGCACUAGAAGUCAAGUAAGAAAAAGUAAGAAAAGAACAGCUGCAACAUUAAUAAAAGAAGAUAUACACUCUCUCAUAGAGUUUAUGUCUAGCAAAAGCACUGCUACAUCUCCUACAGUUGAUGAAACAUCCAUCGAGAAGUGUAUUGGCACGUUGGAACAAAUUCCUGAUAUUCUAGCUGGGAGUGAAAUUUACAGUUUUACUAUGAAUAUGUUCCGCAAAAAAAAAUAACCGACAGAUAUUUUUGGGGAUGCCUACUAAUGAAGCUCGCAAGAAUUGGUUGGAGUUUAACUAUCAGUUAUACCUCAAGAAAAAUGAAUAGUGUAUCGUUGUGAUUGAGUAUUUCUAUUAUUCCGUGUUUGAAUAUUAUGAUUGUAUAUGUAGACGUUAUUAUGAUUUUAUGUGUAAAAUUUAUAUUGCUUCUUGUUUAGACAUUGGGAUUGUAUCACUAAACUCUUAUUAAAUUAAAACUUAUGUUUGUGGUAAACUUUAUGUUUGAAAGCGUUGGUUCUAUUGUUAAGCUUAUAUUGUUAAACUUCUGUUUGGUUCUGUUUGUGGUAAGCUUAUAUUACUUCUAUUGUUAAGCUUUGGUAAACUUUUUGUUUGAAGGACUCUUCAGUACAUAAAGAAGAAUUGAAGAAAGCAUAUGUUUGAAAGCCUCUUCAGUACUAUUUAGAAAAGCAUAUUGCUAAACUUUAUGU